GAACGAGUUCCGAGUAUUUGCUCCGGAACGAAUAUCUCAAGGAACGAGUUCCGGGUAUUUGUUCCGGAACGAAUAUCUCAACGAACGAGUUCCGGGUAUUUGUUCCGGAACGAAUAUCUUGAGGAACGAGUUCCGGGUAUUUGCUCCGGAACGAAUAUCUCGAGGAACGAGUUCCGAGUAUUUGCUCCGGAACGAAUAUCUUGAGGAACGAGUUCCGGGUAUUUGUUCCGGAACAUAAAAGAGAAAUGAGUCAAAUAGGAACGAAUUCCGAACCCCUGAUUUUAAUAAUAUUCCUGUAGAAAUACAAUGCGCGGUCGUACGAAAUUUGAAUUGUAAUAGUCUUCUUGGAGUUGAUUUUCUAAUUAAAUAUAAGGGCGUAGUCAACUUUGUUAAGUCAAAAAUACAACUUAACGUGAAUAAUAAGGAAAUACACAUCGAUUUUUUUAAAAAUUAUAAUAAUGGAAUUAACAUAAAUAGGGUUGAAGAUAAUAACAACAAUGGUUAUUAUAUGGCUAAUAAGAAUGUGAAUAAUAAAAAUAGUAGGAUUAGCCAGAAUACUAGGAUUAAUAAUGGUAAAAGGAAUUUUAAGAAUUGUGUGCAUAGUAAUCAUAGCGCUAAUAAGAAUAUUAAUUUGGGUAACUUUAAUUAUUAUAAAUAUUAUAGACACCCCCGUGGGUUAAAUAAUAAUCAUUCUAGGGCUCUAUUCAAUGGGAAAAAUAGGACAACCCAUAAUUAUUAUAAUGGAACUAGAAAUAGGAAGUUUGAAUAUAACUGUAAUAGUUCUACUUUUAAUGAUCAAUCUAGAAAGGGUAUUAGCAAUAGACAGAGACCCAAUUAUACUAGCAGACCAUUUAUCACUAACCAGCAACAUAACAUAGGUAACUUUGACCAUAACCUAGGAACUCAAAAUUAUGUUGAAACUCCAAUUCCUCUGUUUUCCUCUGUCUCUUGAUGGAAAUUCCAAGAGGCAGUAUAAGGAAAAGGAAAAAUAAAUUUCUAUUUUUCUUUUGUAAAAAUAUAAUUUUUUGUUUUUUUUUUGGGGGAAUCAUACAUAUAAUUAUAUUAUGCGCGAAUAUAUAAAUUAUUUACUUCUGUUAGGUAGCGUCUUUAAAAAUAUAAAUAUAAAUUGUAAUUCACAUUUCUCACGGUGUGAUUACUAGGAAUACAUCUAGCAAAAAAAAAAAAAAAAACACAUAUUUCCUUGGAGGCAGACAACUGCCGUUGCAGGUUUUAUAAUUUCAAACUAACUGCUAUCCCGUAAUUAUAAACGUUCGAUUGUAAGGCAAUGCCUUUUUCUGUUAUUGCGUUGUCAGAAAUGAAUCAUGGACAUGUCCGAGUCUUAUUUUCUGACAAUCCUUGGACACCAAUCCCCGACUCGCACUUCAUAUUAUUAUUUGAAUUUGACACGGUUAUAAAAUAUUAUAAUACGAUUCCUUGACCGUUAGAACAGAAAUUUAAAACAACGUAUUUAAAAGUGAUGAUCAUGAUUUUAACGGAGAACAAUAAUGUAACAUGUACAAUCUCAGACGGUACCCGAGACGAUAUAUACACAUAUACACGCACACACCCGUAUGUGCCAGUGAUCGCAAUGUUUUGCUGACGUUGUAAUUUCUGGGACAAUUUUUAUUGUAAUAUUAGUUAGAAGGUUUUAAUAUUAUUUUUCAUAAUAUUAAAUAAAUAAGUGAUUUUUUUUCCCUCAAGACAAAGUAAAUUAUAUUAUCAAAAUAUAAAAGAGUAAAUAUUAUCGGUCUGUGCCGUGCAAUUAUGCAAACGUGUAAAAAUAAUUAUCUUUAUAUUUUGCCCCGUAAGUAUAAAUAAGCAAUUAGGAUCGGAACGUCAUUUAUGUAUUACUGUAAUUUCCAGAAGUAGGUCAUUUUAUGGUCCAUUUUAGUCGCGACCCCUAUUUGUCAGCCUAGGAUAAUAUGAACUAGGUCAAUUUUUUUUUCCAACUAUAUUAGAAUUUAAUAUUCACUUACUACUUCUGCCGUACGCCUAUUGCUAAGUCAUCAAUACUACCGAAUUAUUUGCCGAUUUUAUUUACAUCAUCGUUUUUGCCGACGCGUACUAAAUAGUACCUAUUUGCCGUUUGUUUCAUCUUUAGUCGCACGUUGCCGCCCGCAGCCAAGGAGGCGAUCAUAUUCGGCCGCACGUUGCCGCUUUUAAGAUAAUCAAUUUGAAUUUGAUUUUGUAUGUUUUUAUUUGCCGUUUAAUUGCCGUUUUUGCCAUGGCCAUAGAUCGCCGCAAUUUUAAAUUGCCGCAUACCUAUUGUUGCCGAUAUUGCCGCCUAAGUGCCGCAUUUUAACCGCAAAGUUCAAUAUUUUAUUGAUUUAUUUUGCCGUUGGUCUGGAGACCAACAUUUUUACCACACCAUAUAACACAUAUCUUUGAAUUUCGAAUGUCGAUCAUAUGGGUAGUUUAAGAGAAAGGAGUAGCUAACCUUUAUUUUAUACGUCCGGAUCGAAUUUUUGAAUUUUAAAUAUUUUGGUUGUUAAUACGCGAAUGUCAUCAGCGAUUUUGGUAGUGAAUAAAUACAUAUUUCCGGUUGGUUACCGUUGAGUUUUUAUAUUUUAUUUAUACGGCUGUUUGUCUCUGCGUUUGUUCAGAUUGACUGUUAUAUUAUUAUUUGGCAAAUAUUUUCCCGGCUAACCCCCGGUGACCGUCCGGUUUUACCGUUGACAUGUUUUUUACACGGCACUGUCUCUGACGAUCUCAGAUUGACUUAUUUUACUUGUUGAAUAAUAUUUUAUUAUUUUUAUCAACCAAUGGACGACUAUUAUGUCAGAUCACGAGUUGUCAUUACAUUAUGCGGCGUAUUAAUUUUUCGGCUUUAUAAAAUAAUUUCGGAUUAGUUAAUGAAAUAAUGACUGAUAUUUUACACGGCGUUUCGUUUUCGAUUAACUGUUUUUGACUAUGUACACAUUAAAUCGGAUUUUAACGAAUUUAUUUUAUUGACACAAGGUGUGCAGAUGCAACCAAUAUUUUCUUUUUACGGCGAUUUUAUUUUUAUAUGCAUAAUUUUGCGCAUGCUGAUUUUCGUAACUAUAUGAAAUUAUUUUGAAAUAGUUUCGUUUAUUUAUUUUUUAUUUUAAUAAAAAUAUUUUAUUUUUCUUAUGAGAACACUUACAAUUUUAAAGGGUACUUACGUUAAAUGACGUCCGAGUUGCUUGUAUUAUCAAACCCAAAAUGUCUGACCACACAAUUGAUUCUAUUCUUAUUUAAAUGUUAAUUUUCCAAAGCAAUGUGUAUUUAGGGGCUAUAUAAAAUUAUUUAUCAAUUAAUUAUACUGUAUUUCAUUAAGUAUAUAUAUAUAUAUAUGUAUGUCUUAUUAAGUCGACUUUUAUAUUAAGUUUUAGGCGCAGCGGUACGGUGGUCAACUUUUAAAACUGUCUUUUUAAAGACAACCUGUUUGUUAAUAAUGCCUUUGUUUUACAUAUUUUUAUUAUAUACAUAUAUAUUGACCGAUUGUUAUAGUUAAAAUAAAUCAUUUCCUAGAUAUACGAUACGCCAAAGGCGCAAGAUUAGCCGACGUCAAAAUAUUUUUUGUAAUUUUUUUUGUAUCGUAUGUGUAAUGUUUGUAUACAUUUUAGAAGAAAAAAAACCGCGUAACGACCUGGGGACGGACAUAAUUACUUUCUUUAAUUUAAAUUGUUUACGGAAAACUACCCUACAAUUAAUCAAAAUACACCUGAAGGUGCGUGCAUUCUUUAACUUAAGUGUAUAUUGUAAAUGGUCUGGUUUUUUAUGCAGCUUUUUCCCCAGAACCAUUAAGUUAACUUAAAUGCUAUUAAUUUGUGAUUACACAUAAUUUUAUUUUAUAAAUAUUAUUCACCGGAUGCACGCCCACAUUGUUUGUGACCCAACAGAUUUUAACUUAAUAAUGACGAAAUUUUUAAAUGUGGAUUAUUGUUAAAUUUUAAGAACACUAUUUUUGGGGAGGACUUUGCGAAGACCUGGUGUUCCGUUUUUGCCCCGAGCUUAUGCCAAGAAAGUGACGAUAGGGCGGGCCAUUUUCCGAUGCAGAGGGAAUGCAACAAUGAUGUGGCCCUAGACUGAGAGGGAUGUUCUUCCAGCACUUAGAAGUCACCAGAAGUCCACCGAAAAAAUAAACAAGUGUUCUUUCCCCCACUUAGUUUUAAGGGUUCACCUUUAUUUUCAGGAAUUUUUGUACCACCAUUUCGUUUCUUUUGCUUUUCAACCUUUUUUUGACAACCCUUAACUUUAUACCACUAGGUCCGAGGUCGGACCUCUACGGGGGAAGGGCAGCUGUAACGAUCAUAUUUCACUUGACCGUUACUUCGCGUUCCAAACCAACUGACACAGCACCCCCGACUAUAGGUAGGGGAACGGUCGCACACACAGGACAAUGCACGUCGCGUAUCAUCUAAUUAACCAGUUGACUUUACCAUCACGGACCGCCAAUAUCCUCGACCUUGCGCUCUAUAUUUUUGCCGUUUUACUACAAGCCGCCCAUCCGACUAUCUUUUGUGUGCGUCCGUUUCAACUCCGCUUUGACCAACCAUUUCAUCGUCCAACCCAGGUACUCACUUUGGGUCCUUUGCCAAGUGUAUUAGACAGCACUUUCAAAGCUCCGCUUAAGAAAUCAUCAGGUAUUUUUGAUGAGGGUAAGUUUGUGUCCAAACUUAAACGAGGCAUUUUAAGAUUUUUUUGAUUAUUUUAAACUGAACAAAAAUUAAAUCGAAA